AGAUUAAGUUAUUAAGGGCGCACGGUGGAUGCCUUGGCACUAGAAGCCGAUGAAGGACGUUACUAACGACGAUAUGCUUUGGGUAGCUGUAAGUAAGCGUUGAUCCAGAGAUUUCCGAAUGGGGGAACCCAGCAUGAGUUAUGUCAUGUUAUCGACAUGUGAAUUCAUAGCAUGUCAGAAGGCAGACCCGGAGAACUGAAACAUCUUAGUACCCGGAGGAAGAGAAAGAAAAAUCGAUUCCCUGAGUAGCGGCGAGCGAAACGGGAAGAGCCCAAACCAACAAGCUUGCUUGUUGGGGUUGUAGGACACUCUAUACGGAGUUACAAAAGAACAUGUUAGACGAAUCAUCUGGAAAGAUGAAUCAAAGAAGGUAAUAAUCCUGUAGUCGAAAACAUAUUCUCUCUUGAGUGGAUCCUGAGUACGACGGAGCACGUGAAAUUCCGUCGGAAUCUGGGAGGACCAUCUCCUAAGGCUAAAUACUCUCUAGUGACCGAUAGUGAACCAGUACCGUGAGGGAAAGGUGAAAAGUACCCCGGAAGGGGAGUGAAAGAGAACUUGAAACCGUGUGCUUACAAGUAGUCAGAGCCCGUUAAUGGGUGAUGGCGUGCCUUUUGUAGAAUGAACCGGCGAGUUACGAUCUGAUGCAAGGUUAAGCAGCAAAUGUGGAGCCGCAGCGAAAGCGAGUCUGAAUAGGGCGUUGAGUAUUUGGUCGUAGACCCGAAACCAGGUGAUCUACCCUUGGUCAGGUUGAAGUUCAGGUAACACUGAAUGGAGGACCGAACCGACUUACGUUGAAAAGUGAGCGGAUGAACUGAGGGUAGCGGAGAAAUUCCAAUCGAACUUGGAGAUAGCUGGUUCUCUCCGAAAUAGCUUUAGGGCUAGCCUCAAGUGAUGAUUAUUGGAGGUAGAGCACUGUUUGGACGAGGGGCCCCUCUCGGGUUACCGAAUUCAGACAAACUCCGAAUGCCAAUUAAUUUAACUUGGGAGUCAGAACAUGGGUGAUAAGGUCCGUGUUCGAAAGGGAAACAGCCCAGACCACCAGCUAAGGUCCCAAAAUAUAUGUUAAGUGGAAAAGGAUGUGGCGUUGCCCAGACAACUAGGAUGUUGGCUUAGAAGCAGCCAUCAUUUAAAGAGUGCGUAAUAGCUCACUAGUCGAGUGACACUGCGCCGAAAAUGUACCGGGGCUAAACAUAUUACCGAAGCUGUGGAUUGUCCUUUGGACAAUGGUAGGAGAGCGUUCUAAGGGCGUCGAAGCAUGAUCGCAAGGACAUGUGGAGCGCUUAGAAGUGAGAAUGCCGGUGUGAGUAGCGAAAGACGGGUGAGAAUCCCGUCCACCGAUUGACUAAGGUUUCCAGAGGAAGGCUCGUCCGCUCUGGGUUAGUCGGGUCCUAAGCUGAGGCCGACAGGCGUAGGCGAUGGAUAACAGGUUGAUAUUCCUGUACCACCUAGUAUCGUUUUAAUUGAUGGGGGGACGCAGUAGGAUAGGCGAAGCGUGCUGUUGGAGUGCACGUCCAAGCAGUAAGGCUGAGUGUUAGGCAAAUCCGGCACUCAUAAGGCUGAGCUGUGAUGGGGAGAGGAAAUUGUUUCCUCGAGUCGUUGAUUUCACACUGCCGAGAAAAGCCUCUAGAUAGAUAACAGGUGCCCGUACCGCAAACCGACACAGGUAGUCAAGAUGAGAAUUCUAAGGUGAGCGAGCGAACUCUCGUUAAGGAACUCGGCAAAAUGACCCCGUAACUUCGGGAGAAGGGGUGCUCUUUAGGGUUCACGCCCAGAAGAGCCGCAGUGAAUAGGCCCAAGCGACUGUUUAUCAAAAACACAGGUCUCUGCUAAACCGUAAGGUGAUGUAUAGGGGCUGACGCCUGCCCGGUGCUGGAAGGUUAAGAGGAGUGGUUAGCUUCUGCGAAGCUACGAAUCGAAGCCCCAGUAAACGGCGGCCGUAACUAUAACGGUCCUAAGGUAGCGAAAUUCCUUGUCGGGUAAGUUCCGACCCGCACGAAAGGCGUAACGAUUUGGGCACUGUCUCAACGAGAGACUCGGUGAAAUCAUAGUACCUGUGAAGAUGCAGGUUACCCGCGACAGGACGGAAAGACCCCGUGGAGCUUUACUGUAGCCUGAUAUUGAAAUUCGGCACAGCUUGUACAGGAUAGGUAGGAGCCUUUGAAACGUGAGCGCUAGCUUACGUGGAGGCGUUGGUGGGAUACUACCCUAGCUGUGUUGGCUUUCUAACCCGCACCACUUAUCGUGGUGGGAGACAGUGUCAGGCGGGCAGUUUGACUGGGGCGGUCGCCUCCUAAAAGGUAACGGAGGCGCUCAAAGGUUCCCUCAGAAUGGUUGGAAAUCAUUCAUAGAGUGUAAAGGCAUAAGGGAGCUUGACUGCGAGACCUACAAGUCGAGCAGGGUCGAAAGACGGACUUAGUGAUCCGGUGGUUCCGCAUGGAAGGGCCAUCGCUCAACGGAUAAAAGCUACCCCGGGGAUAACAGGCUUAUCUCCCCCAAGAGUUCACAUCGACGGGGAGGUUUGGCACCUCGAUGUCGGCUCAUCGCAUCCUGGGGCUGUAGUCGGUCCCAAGGGUUGGGCUGUUCGCCCAUUAAAGCGGUACGCGAGCUGGGUUCAGAACGUCGUGAGACAGUUCGGUCCCUAUCCGUCGUGGGCGUAGGAAAUUUGAGAGGAGCUGUCCUUAGUACGAGAGGACCGGGAUGGACAUACCUCUGGUGUACCAGUUGUCGUGCCAACGGCAUAGCUGGGUAGCUAUGUAUGGACGGGAUAAGUGCUGAAAGCAUCUAAGCAUGAAGCCCCCCUCAAGAUGAGAUUUCCCAACUUCGGUUAUAAGAUCCCUCGAAGAUGACGAGGUUAAUAGGUUCGAGGUGGAAGCGUGGUGACACGUGGAGCUGACGAAUACUAAUCGAUCGAAGACUUAAUCAAUUUUUUAAA
rnacentral:rRNA from 1 species